AUGAUUCAACUGCCUCUACCUGGACUCUCCCUUGGCACGGGGAUAAUAGGGACUUGGGGUUUACAAUUCAAGGCUGUCAAUUGGCUCCUCAUUUCUUCACUUUUAUCCUCUUGAGAAUCUCCAGUUUUAUGCUUGGCACUACUUCUGGAUCGCCACUCAAGUUGCACGGCCUCAUCUACUCUUCUCACUUACUCUGCGGCCCUGAAUACUCUGCAUUUGGUCUCCCUGCCCUAAGUGUCCAUCUUCCUCCCAAGACAGAGCUUCCAAUGAGGUUUGCGGGCAUUGAGCAAGAAGCAGAUUCCUUCAAGAUUUACAAAGAGCAUGAACAAAGAGCACAGGGAAGGAAUAUGUCUUCUUCUGCCGGCAGUAGAGCUUGUUUUAUUUAAAUGAAUGAAGAGCUAUCUUCUAGCCAGGACCCUUUCUAUGUCAUCCACACCCCCUCAGCUUUUCUGAAGCCCAACUUCCUUUGAACCAGUAAUCGUCAAAAGUUAUCACAAACCAGGAAUUUUGAUAGAGACUGAAGAGUCAAAGCACCAAAAUAUCAAGAAACCUAUAAACCAUAUGAAGAAUAAAGACACAUGAAAAGGGAGUAGAAGAGAUAUGUGCUGUCACUGAGGUGUUAAGCAAUUGUUACAGCAGCACAGAACACAACCAGUUCUCACCAGGAGGUUCUAGAGGUCAAAGGACAAGUGAGAGCUUUACAGAGAGAGAGAAUGGGAAGGGCAUUUCGGAGCAUGCAGUACACAUGGCAAACUUGAGGGCAGGCAAGGAUGCUGGGGCUAAUCUUCAUGCUUUGAAAGCAAAUCUGAUUUUUGUGGGGGCAGGGACUUGUCAGAUAUCUUUGAAAGCCAAGUCUGAUAAACAAAGUAGUAGAUAAAAUGUUGGCAAAAACCAUUUGAGCCCAAGCAGACAUCAUAAACUGGCUCUCAGGGAGUGUCUAAGAUAGAAUUUAUUGAUGUGAAUUACAGCAAUACAAAUAAUUACUUAGAGUAUAAACCCCCUUGUAUGCAUACGGUUUGAUAAGUGUGUUUAAAAAUUAGUCUUAACUUCUUUCAAUCCAAACUUUGUAUUUACUGUUCAACUAAAGAGUGUGUGAAGAGUAGAAAUUAAUAAAAUCCUGAUUUCAA